UCAGGAGGCCUGGUUCUAGCCCAAGCACAGUCUCCAGCUUAAGGAAUGACCUUAAGCAAGCACUUCUUCCCUCAGGGCAACAUUUAAAAAAAUAAGAAGAUUGGAUUGAUCAACAUUUUACUGCCUGUAUUUCACAGGACAUUCUCCUUUUAAUAUAUUUGCUUGAACCUUCUUGAAAACAGGACUCCAUGGACAAAUAAGGAGAGAGCCACCAUGUCAUGACAACACAUGUCAUGAGAAAGCCCUGAGGAGAUGUCCCUGUGGGGAGAAACUGAGACCUGCCACCAACAACUAGAAUCGCCUUGCCAGCCAUGUCUAACACCAGCAAUAUUUACACACCGAAGGCACGAGUAUGGCCAUUUGGGGGGCUGUGAUAUUGUUAUUGAGGAGUUUUCCAGAGAUAACUAGACAAGAGCUAGAAAACAAUGGAAGGAACUUUAGAAGCUCACAGGUGUGGAAAGGGAAGAUCUCAGUUUCAAUGGAGCAUUGGAUCUAUACAAGUCAAGAGGCAAAAAGUGGGCUUUGCUGAAGACUGAUGCUAAAGCUGAAUUCUGGACAAUGAGUAGCAAUGAGCCAUGUAAAGAAAAGGAAUGCAUAGCACAGGGUCUCUGCCCAGAGGAGAGGCAGGCCAUGAGAUGAAGAGCUCUGCGGCUCUGCCUGAGGGGACCAGCUGUUUGGAACACAGAGUGGAGAAUUCCAGGCCUAAGAAUGCUGUGCAUCAUGGACAACAUGGG
rnacentral:lncRNA from 1 species